rnacentral:rRNA from 1 species
UACAGAGGGUGCGAGCGUUGUCCGGAAUCACUGGGCGUAAAGGGCGCGUAGGUGGCGCUGCAAGUCGGUGGUGAAAGCUCGCCGCUUAACGGCGAGUCGGCCAUCGAAACUGCAGGGCUCGAGCACUGUAGGGGCUAAUGGAAUUCCGGGUGUAGCGGUGGAAUGCGUAGAGAUCCGGAAGAACACCAAUUGCGAAGGCAGCUCGCUGGGACGUUACUGACGCUGAGACGCGAAAGCGUGGGGAGCAAACAGGG